rfam:Triticum urartu cultivar G1812 contig123261, whole genome shotgun sequence.
UCGAUACUCCUUCCGUUCGGAAUUACUUGUUACGAAAAUGGAUGUAUGUAGAUGUAUUUUAGUUCUAGAUACAUCCAUAUUCGAGACAAGUAAUUCCGAAGGGAGGGAGUACAUC